CAAAAAGUUGUUUUCCCCACCCAUCGCUUCCAUUCCAUUCUCUUUCCUUCGAGAGGAGGCAACCGGCGAAAACCGAAGAAAACUUUCAAGAAAACUUUCUUCUUGCUCUUCUCUUCUCGCUUUUCGUUUUUCCACCCACAAACAUAAACAAGAUUAAUUUCACAUGUUUUCCACGAAAUGAAGGAUGUUGGUGGGGCAGGGGACAAGAGAGGCAAUACGGGGGGGAGAGUGGGUUAGAAGUUAUUACUUUGAUUAUGUUUAUUCUAGUCAUGGAAAUCCGUUCGAAUGCCCGUUUCAUGUGCACUUCAUUUAAUAAGGCACCCAACCCAUUCCUUCCCCAUUCGUGGAGGGAUGCCGCGAAUACUCGCAGAUACAUUCCUUGGCAUUUUUGUCUGCUGCUGUUUCUACUUUUGUGUGAUUAGCCAAGUGAAAAAACAAGAGAUUAGGCGCGACAAACUAUUUUCAAACUUCAUUUGCGACACUCGAAUGGAGGAAUCCACAGCUCCCGCUUCACUCUUGAAAGUUCUUUAAGUACUGGAGGUGUGUGCACCCACAACAAAAUACGAAUAAGUCUUCCCUGAGAUACAUUUUGCCAUAACGUCUUGAAUGGCAGAUUCGAGUAACUUUAGUGGACAUUUGGGGGAAGCUUCUGAGUCGCUUUUUGGAGUGGAAUUUGACUGCUUCUGAAGAUUCUUCCUCUAGUAUACCUUCACUUCCCCAAUUUAAUCUCUCUUCAGUCAAUUUAGGUCACUUUAUGCUGAAGGAUGCCGCGUCAAAUCGCCCGUCAGUGAUCGACAGAAUCAUCGUCUAAGAUCUCUCCCCCUCUCUUUCUCUGCCAAUUUGCUGGGAAAAUUGGCCAACAUCCAAUGUGUUCCACUGCAUAAGCCACAGCAGACCGAACAGCACGCGCAUAAGUAUCUCUAUCUCUAUCUGUAUUUCUGGGGCUGGCAGUAUCUUUGGUGCAGGCAAUCUCCGUCUCCGUUGGCGACUCUUAAGUGCUUUUAAUUUCUGGUGUGUCCACUUAAGUCUCAAUAUCGCCCGACGCCAACAGCUUCCGAAGCGAGC
rnacentral:lncRNA from 1 species